rnacentral:rRNA from 1 species
GACGAACGCUGGCUGGCGUGCUUAACACAUGCAAGUCGAACGGAAAGGCCCUUCGGGGUACUCGAGUGGCGAACGGGUGAGUAACACGUGGGUGAUCUGCCCUGCACUUUGGGAUAAGCCUGGGAAACUGGGUCUAAUACCGGAUAGGACCACGGCACUCAUGUGCUGUGGUGGAAAGCUUUUGCGGUGUGGGAUGGGCCCGCGGCCUAUCAGCUUGUUGGUGGGGUAAUGGCCUACCAAGGCGACGACGGGUAGCCGGCCUGAGAGGGUGACCGGCCACACUGGGACUGAGAUACGGCCCAGACUCCUACGGGAGGCAGCAGUGGGGAAUAUUGCACAAUGGGCGCAAGCCUGAUGCAGCGACGCCGCGUGAGGGAUGACGGCCUUCGGGUUGUAAACCUCUUUCGCCAGGGACGAAGCGCAAGUGACGGUACCUGGAGAAGAAGGACCGGCCAACUACGUGCCAGCAGCCGCGGUAAUACGUAGGGUCCGAGCGUUGUCCGGAAUUACUGGGCGUAAAGAGCUCGUAGGUGGUUUGUCGCGUUGUUCGUGAAAACUCACAACUCAAUUGUGGGCGUGCGGGCGAUACGGGCAGACUGGAGUACUGCAGGGGAGACUGGAAUUCCUGGUGUAGCGGUGGAAUGCGCAGAUAUCAGGAGGAACACCGGUGGCGAAGGCGGGUCUCUGGGCAGUAACUGACGCUGAGGAGCGAAAGCGUGGGGAGCGAACAGGAUUAGAUACCCUGGUAGUCCACGCCGUAAACGGUGGGUACUAGGUGUGGGUUUCCUUCCUUGGGAUCCGUGCCGUAGCUAACGCAUUAAGUACCCCGCCUGGGGAGUACGGCCGCAAGGCUAAAACUCAAAGGAAUUGACGGGGGCCCGCACAAGCGGCGGAGCAUGUGGAUUAAUUCGAUGCAACGCGAAGAACCUUACCUGGGUUUGACAUGCACAGGACGCUGGUAGAGAUAUCAGUUCCCUUGUGGCCUGUGUGCAGGUGGUGCAUGGCUGUCGUCAGCUCGUGUCGUGAGAUGUUGGGUUAAGUCCCGCAACGAGCGCAACCCUUGUCUCAUGUUGCCAGCACGUUAUGGUGGGGACUCGUGAGAGACUGCCGGGGUCAACUCGGAGGAAGGUGGGGAUGACGUCAAGUCAUCAUGCCCCUUAUGUCCAGGGCUUCACACAUGCUACAAUGGCCGGUACAAAGGGCUGCGAUGCCGUGAGGUGGAGCGAAUCCUUUCAAAGCCGGUCUCAGUUCGGAUCGGGGUCUGCAACUCGACCCCGUGAAGUCGGAGUCGCUAGUAAUCGCAGAUCAGCAACGCUGCGGUGAAUACGUUCCCGGGCCU